rnacentral:lncRNA from 1 species
UUAAUUUUUAUAUAUUAAAAGUAGAUAAAACUGUUUACGGUAAAUAAAUUAAUUUCAUUCUACAAAUUAGAAGUGGUACCUAUUAUAUACUACCCCUGGAGAAAAAAGAAAAUGGGUACCUAUUGAGUACCACUUCUCUCAUAAGCACAUUCUCACUCCCUUGAGACCCAUUUGUUUCUCAAUAAAAUAUGUCUCUAUGAGACCCACUUAAUCUCAU